rnacentral:lncRNA from 1 species
AUAUAGGGUGACAAUACAUGUGUAACUACCUGCUAUAUAUAGAGACAAUACAUGUGUAAUUACCCGGUGUAUAUAUAGAGACAAUACAUGUGUAAUUACCUGCUGUAUAUAGAGACAGUACAUGUGUAUAAGUGUAAAAUGAUUGUAUAGUGAUUGUAGCUGAGGAUAUGGAUGUGUCAUAAGGUAGUGUACAGGUCAUAUGAUACAUCAUCAGGCAGUGUACAGGAUAUAUGAUGCGUCAUAAGGCAGUGUACAGGUCAUAUGAUGCAUCAUCACGCAGUGUACAGGUCAUAUGACGCGUCAUAAGGUAGUGUAUAGGUUAUAUGACACAUCAUAAGGUAGUGUAUAGGUUAUAUGACGCGUCAUAAGGUAGUGUAUAGGUUAUAUGACGCGUCAUAAGGUAGUGUAUAUGUUAUAUGAUGCAUGAUAAGGUAGUGUAUAGGUUAUAUGACACGUCAUAAGGUAGUGUACAGGUUAUAUGACGCGUCAUAAGGUAGUGUAUAUGUUAUAUGAUGCAUGAUAAGGUAGUGUAUAGGUUAUGUGAUGCGUCAUAAGGUAGUGUAUAGGUUAUAUGAUGCAUGAUAAGGUAGUGUAUAGGUUAUAUGAUGCGUCAUAAGGUAGUGUAUAAUGUCUCUAUCGUAGCUGGUCUCACCGCUGAUAACCGGGCGGAUCUCCUCUGGGGCUGCAACAGGAAGAGGAAGAGAAAACAUAUCACCACAGAAAAACACACGCUGUCAGAGAUCAACUAUGAUGAAACUGAGCUGACAAUACGAGUUCAUUUAUUGAAUAGUAAUUAUAGGGGAUGAGUUGUAGUCGAGGAUCUCGGUCUCACCUCCUCCUUGGUGUCCCCAGCGGCUCCCUGCUGAGGACAAACACAAACAACGACAAAUAAACAACUUUUAUCACAACAACAACACUUUAUUGGCUUUUAUAAGAGCAAGUAACAGUCUACUGUGGCUCAAAUUACAUAUUUCUUCACUGUCAAGGAAGACCCCAGAUAACUUUUCAAUUUCAAGAAAAAAGUAAAAAUGUCAUAGAUAAUGUUCAAAUAAAUGUGUUUUUAGAACCAUUAGAUUGAACUGUAAUGUAAUAUUUGAGUUUUGUUAAC